rnacentral:rRNA from 1 species
UACAGAGGUCUCAAGCGUUGUUCGGAUUCAUUGGGCGUAAAGCGUGCGCAGGCGGUUCGUUGUGUCGGCGGUGAAAGCCCCGGGCUCAACCUGGGAAUGGCCGUUGAAACUGGCGAACUGGAGUGUGGCAGAGGGGGGUGGAAUUCCGCGUGUAGCAGUGAAAUGCGUAGAGAUGCGGAGGAACACCGAUGGCGAAGGCAGCCCCCUGGGCUAACACUGACGCUCAGGCACGAAAGCGUGGGGAGCAAACAGG